CAUCUGUCCAUGAUCUUGCUAACCUUAGCCUUCAUAACACGUGGAUAACUACUAGUAUCAGUUGUAAAUCCUCUGCAAGAUGAACGCCAAGUUUCUGCUCGUUGUUGCCUUGGUCUGCCUGGCAGUCUCCACCACCACUGCAGCGCCUCUUAAACCAGGAGGAGGGCCUUCAGAUUCUAAUGGAGAAUUAAAUUGAUGUUUCCAGUGUCACUUUUUAUAAGUCUGACAUACUUCCCUGUAAAGCCACAAAUCUGAACUCUUUUUUGCUUUAAUUCCAUUUCAAUUUAUGAUAUUUUAUCUUGACAUACACUUUAACAUAACUAUGUUGACCAGGUUGUUAUAAAUAAAUGCUCUUCAUUAUA